GCCGAGGUGGUGGAAUAGGUAGACACGCAGGACUUAAAAUCCUGUGGAUGGAAAUCCGUGCGGGUUCGAUUCCCGCCCUCGGCACCA
rnacentral:tRNA from 1 species